UCUAGCAUCCAGAGCAAGGGAGAGGCCGGAGCGGCAUGUGUCCCGCUGUCGGGCCGGGCCGCCGAGAGCUCCCGGGCUCCGUGACUCCGGCGUUUGCUGAACGUCAGGGAAGAUUGUUUGCAACAUGGGGGAUAAAUAAAAUUGGACAUUUGAAUUCCUAUGGCAAGAGUGAAAUAUCAGCAGACACAGGCAAGGACACCUAUUAGACAUAGGACUAGUCCCAAUUGUUAAUCAUUACUUACUCUCACCAUUGAAAAGGUAGAAAUCCAGAGUAACUUCACACACUUCAGUGGAGCUAGAAGUAAGUGACUUGCAUCAUGUAAGAGCAGAAUUUGGACCUAAUUCUCAAAAUGUGUAUGAUUUGCAGACAUAUCUUAAUGCUUGAAAAAGGAGAGGCUCCAGUCAUAUUAAGAUGUGAAUGUUGCCAAGUUUGUUCCUCUCCCCCCUACAAACGGGAACUUUCCCAUUAUUUCCAUUGGGUGCAGCUCGUCAAAGUGAUUCUGAUGACAUUGUUACCAAAAAAUUGAGGGCCCCCCAAUAAUACAGCAUGAUUUAAAAAGUUAAAAUUACGGUGGAGGAAUGUAAUGGAACAGGGUUAGAGUCCACUCUGGUCAGUGCUCAGCUUUUUAU